UGAUUAGCUUGUUGGCGGGGUAACGGCCCACCAAGGCGACGAUCAGUAGGGGUUCUGAGAGGAAGGUCCCCCACGUUGGAACUGAGACACGGUCCAAACUCCUACGGGAGGCAGCAGUGAGGAAUAUUGGUCAAUGGGCGAGAGCCUGAACCAGCCAAGUAGCGUGCAGGAAGACGGCCCUAUGGGUUGUAAACUGCUUUUAUAAGGGAAUAAAGUGAGUCUCGUGAGACUUUUUGCAUGUACCUUAUGAAUAAGGACCGGCUAAUUCCGUGCCAGCAGCCGCGGUAAUACGGAAGGUCCGGGCGUUAUCCGGAUUUAUUGGGUUUAAAGGGAGCGUAGGCCGGAGAUUAAGCGUGUUGUGAAAUGUAGAUGCUCAACAUCUGCACUGCAGCGCGAACUGGUUUCCUUGAGUACGCACAAAGUGGGCGGAAUUCGUGGUGUAGCGGUGAAAUGCUUAGAUAUCACGAAGAACUCCGAUUGCGAAGGCAGCUCACUGGAGCGCAACUGACGCUGAAGCUCGAAAGUGCGGGUAUCGAACAGGAUUAGAUACCCUGGUAGUCCGCACGGUAAACGAUGGAUGCCCGCUGUUGGUCUGAAUAGGUCAGCGGCCAAGCGAAAGCAUUAAGCAUCCCACCUGGGGAGUACGCCGGCAACGGUGCAACUCAA
rnacentral:rRNA from 1 species